AGGCUCACCCCUUCACCCCCUCUGCAGAGCAGGCUCACCCCUUCACCCCUGGGCAGAGCAGGCUCACCCCUUCACCCCCUGGGCAGAGCAGGCUCACUUCUUCACCCCCCUGGGCAGAGCAGGCUCACCCCUUCACCCCCUGGGCAGAGCAGGGUCACCCCUUCACCCCCUGGGCAGAGCAGGCUCACCCCUUCACCCCCUGGGCAGAGCAGGCUCACUUCUUCACCCCCUGGGCAGAGCAGGCUCACCCCUUCACCCCCUGUGCAGAGCAGGAUCACUCCUUCACCCCAUGAGCAGAGCAGGUUCACUCCUUCACCCCUGGGCAGAGCAGGCUCACUCCUUCACCCCCUGGGCAGAGCAGGCUCACUCCUUCACCCCCUGGGCAGAGCAGGCUCACUCCUUCACCCCCUGGGCAGAGCAGGUUCACUCCUUCACCCCCUGGGCAGAGCAGGUUCACCCCUUCACCCCCUGGGCAGAGCAGGUUCACUCCUUCACCCCCUGGGCAGAGCAGGUUCACUCUUUCACCCCCUGGGCAGAGCAGGUUCA
ensembl:lncRNA